CUAUUUAGCCAUUUGUGUAAACCAUGACAAUAGAACUGACACAGUAUAUUACCAGACACGGUUUAUUUCUCACUAUUGCGUUCAUUUUGGCCCUGAACAACC
rnacentral:sRNA from 1 species